AGAGCCCACCGGCCAAACCCAAUUCAUUUCCACCAGCCACAUCUCUCCUCUUCCUCCUCCCCCCUCGCGUUCCCCCAUCCCGCCGCCACCUCUCCCUGCCCUAGCUCCUCCUCUGCAUCGGUGCCGCCACCACCUCGCAUCCUCCCGUGCUCCUCCCUGCCUCGCUGGUGAUCUCCUUGGAGCGGAGAAGGAGAGCGGCGGUUGGCCGCCUUGGAGCAGCACACGAUUGCUGCAGGCUGUACCACCCAUGGCCGACCGCCUCGCCUUGCGUGGGGCUCGACCUCGCGGACGACCGCCUGCUCCUCUGACACCACGUCACCGGUGGGCUUCUUCAUCGCCGCGGGGUCGAGCAGCUGCAGCCGGCAGUCAACGCGGGGGCCUGUAGAUCCGCCGUCGUCCGCGUCUUGCGCGCGCUCCGCCUGCGGUCGGGGUCGAGCAGCUACAGCCAGCGGUCAACGCGGGGCCCUGUAGAUCCGCCGUCGUCUGCAUCUUCCGCGCGCUCUACCUGCGGCCGUAGAUCAAUGGGCCAUCAUCUUGCAUCCGUGAGAGCAGGCAUGGAGCAUAUGAAUGAUUGAGCAAAGAAACAUGUCCAUCUUCUGUUUUCUAGAGAUUUCCCCCCUUCGACUAUUGUGGAAAUGUUUUGUGCACGCAAGGUACUCCAAAUACCUUUUGUGCUGGUUAAGAGCAGGGCCAGCAGUGUAUUUAGAACAUCUGCGCGCAUAUUAUCCUUAGGAGCAUACAGGCGAGACAACAUCACUUAAUGCCCUCCAACAACUAAUGCAGAAGCUUACAGGCCUUGGAUUUGGAAACGACAAGGCCCUGCAUUCAAGUGGUGGAAUUCACACAUGUAAAGUGAUGGAUCCUCUUAGUUCUUCCAUAUAAAGGCGUGUGAUGGUUGGUCUGCCUGUCUCGCAGCGCUUUGCAUUCUCUAGAACCUGAUAACAGCUAUAAGUCAGUUGCACUCAAUUAUCAGUCUAAGAGAGAUCUGGAUAUCAUAGAGGGUUAUUGUUGAUCCAUGGAUACAGUCCAACAUCCAUGAUUAACAGAGAAUGGUUGUUGACGUAUUACACUAAUGCAGUUGUUCCUUUACGGUGUGUGGGAGGCGCUACAGUCUAUCAGUCUUUUUAAUCUAUGGUUGAGCAAUCUAUGGUUGAGCAGAGAUAAGAAAAUAUCAGAAUUGAGUUGUUUCAAAUUAGCCCAUGUCAUGGCUUCACCUUGCUUUCCCAUGAAAGUGAGACACCUCUGUCAGUUCUAAGUUCUAUAUUAGACCUGAUUUGACAUUUGGGACAUUGUCAGUGACAAGAAUGACCUCCUUUGUGAAGUGUGUCCCAGGUAGGAAAUCAGCUCGUUGUUGUGACUAAUUGCAAUCUCUCCAACAUAUCCACUCUAAAAUAUAUCAUAGCAGUUGCCUUUGUGUAGAAAGAAUUAGAAAUAAUGUAUUUAUGUACUUUUGGCAUGCAGUCGUAUCAAUAUUCCUCUCCUUUAGAUAUAUGAUUUACACAUUUAGUGUUUAAUUUUACCUAAUCUAGCCUUAAAUUCUAAUCUUGUGGGAUCACAAAUUUAUAUUGGACUGCCUCUUUAUUUAGUCUUCAGGUAGCGGCAACUCUCCUUAGUAUAUAGUACAAUUGUGUUUGCUUCUUAUGUCCCUGACAAGUGUUUGGUUGAUUACUAAUGGAUAUAACUAAUUUUCUCUUUUUCAACACCCCUACUUAGUCCCAUAGUCCUCUCCCUUCUUGUACAUCAGUGUACUUUAUUUCAGCAUUUUCCCCUCUCUUUGCCUUAGAUAAGGAGAUAAGCUAGCUGUAGAUGUGGAGAUACAAAGACAGAACCAUAAGCUCGAUGAAACUAUUGGAUUUAAGUUAUACUUUGAAUGCUUAUUUCCAUUUUGUUAUGCAUAUGCACGGUGAUUGAAGUUCCCAGAUCCAUAGUGAUUUACCGUUGUUUUUAGGAUUUACGAUGCAAUGAGAUGUAAUUAGAAAAUUAGUUUGUUGAAAUUAUCUGCACCUCCACUCUAUACAAACUAGACCCAGUACUUGCAGCUAGAAAAUGAGUUAGUUGAUGCAUGUGUUAGUCCGAAGGUUUGUAUUCCGGGUUGAGCACUUCAUCUCAACAACUCAAGGCAAAGGCUUAUGGCUUUAUGCACUUUGUUACCACCUGCAGGAGGUAGAAACUAAAUUUUUUAAGGAAGAUAAUUGAUACCUUCAGUGGCACACUUGGAGUAUGAAAAUGCCUCAUUUGGAUCUAUGCCCCUCCGUUACUGCCCAACAGCUGGUGAAUUUUUUGUUUUAAGGAGGACCGGUACUGCGUUCACCAAUAGAUGUUCUACCUCCAUGUGUCAGAUCUUGCAGCAGGGAAAUGAACGGACCAUGCAUCAUUAGUUCCCUAAUACAUUUUAAAUUGUUUUAUGGUGUAACAUGUGUCAUUAUGAUAUAUUAUAUCUUACAAAUAGGCAUAGGUGACCUGCUCCAUUGACAACAAUUGAUUCACUAUAAUAAUGUUGCAGAUGAGCUUUGCAGCAAUAUUACCUAAAUAUAGCAUGCAGUUUUUCA